GAGGUAACUCAGAGAACAGGCUAGUAGUCUUUCUAAACUUUUCUAACUCAAGCAGUUUAAUAUUUGAAAGAGAAAACAAAUGGGUAUAUAACCCCAAAUCAAAGCUUUAUGCAGAUCUGUGACAAAUACUAUACGUGGUCAGUUACAGCCAAACAGCAUCCAAACACCCACACAGCCUCUCUCUCAGUUCCCAUCCCUCCCUGAAUAGGAAGGGGAGUGAACUGCAGGACAAGAGCAAGAAAAGUCAUGGGUUGAGACGAAGACAGUUUCAUAAAUGAAGGUAAGAAGCAAAGUGUAGGGGAGGCAGUGAAAAAAACGAACUCACUCGCCAUCUCCCACAGGCAGACCAAUGCCCAGCCAGUCUACAUGCAGCAGCCACCGUGGAAGCUCUCCCCUUUUUCCUCUACUUCCAAUUAUUAUUGCAUAUUAGGAUGUUUUAUGGUAUGAAAUACCCACCUGGCCAAUUCUAACCAGUUGUCCCAGCAGUGUCCCCUCCCAGUCUCUUGCAAACCCCUUUUCUAUUCACUACGAGGCUGGGGGGG